UUACUUUUACAUACAACAACAACAACAUAGUAAAAUUUCACUAGUGAGGUCUAGGGAGGGUAGUGUGUAUGCAGACCUUAUCCUUAACCCGAAGGAGGGAGACUGUUUACGAAGGACCCUCGGCUCAAGAAGAAGAAGACGAAAAUACAAAGACACAAUAAAAAAGAAAUUUACUUUUACAUGAAAAGAAUAAAAAAGGAAAACUCAUUUACAUUGAAAUUUAACAUAUCAAUGAUACUCCUCUUAUAGGAGGGGAGCCCUGGAGCAACUGUUAAGGUCUUCAUGUGACCUAUAGGUCACGGGUUUGAGUCGUAGAAUCAGCCAUUAAUGCUUGCAUUAGGGUAGGCCGUCUAAAUCAUACCCCCUUGGUGUGCGGCCCUUCUCCGAACUCUGUAUGAACGCAGAAUAUUUUGAAUACCGAACUGCCCUUUCAGUGAUAUUCCUGUUAUAAAAUUGCAUGCUAACAGAAAUUAAUAAUAUUUUUCAGGAAGAAGACACACGUAAGACAAGGAGAUUACAUACUAGGGUAAUAAAGAAAUUACCUUCUAUAUUAGUAUCAAGAAAAUAUAAAGCAGCGAAAGGUUCCAAAGUACGCAAUUCAUGUGGGAUGAAAACACCAAAAGCUGCUGCAAC
rnacentral:lncRNA from 1 species